CAGGUGACAAGCUGUAAUUUAGUCCCAUACACACGGCAUAUGAAGACAAUUCAUGGCAACCGACAUCAGAAAUGUCUGGUAGUGGUACAAAAAAAACACAUUUACCACACCAUGCGACGGUGUAAGAGAUUAAUGCUAAUAUGACAACUCAAUAAUGGUUGCUGUUAAACAAGCAUUUCUCGAAUGUUUGCGCAUCUAACUGCAGCCGUUAAUCGUUUCUCAUCAAUCAACUCGAAUGCAUUUAACAUUCGAUUCAAUUGCAACUUGGUUCGAACAGAGAACGCGAUUUUUUGUUUUUGAUUUGGUAUUCAUCGAUAUCUACGCCUGCAAUUGGAAACCGAUCACAACAUUUCGUAUUCAGGAGUGGUUUGCAAUUUUUUUCUACACAUUUAAUGUUCAUUAGACUCUUAAA
rnacentral:sRNA from 1 species